CGAAAAUGGAAAAAGCAUUUGUUCCUCAUGCAACAUCUUGUGGAUUAACUGCGCGUUACGUUUGCUGAUAUCUUGUAACCCGUCACACUGGAGGAUCUGCCCGGAGCAGAAAAAAAGUUGGUGAAAAAGGCUUGUGCAAAAAACACAGUAUGUAUAUUAAUUGUUUGCAAAAUGAAAAAAGUCACGCAAGUUCAACUUAAACAUAAUUAUUUAUUAGAAAAGGCACUUGUUUUCAUGUUCAGUCCUAUACAAU